GAGCGAUGACAGAUUUACGCGCUCACCGUGAUUGGUUUGGGUCCAUCACAACCGUCUGAUUCUACAGACGACAAGACGCGCAUCUGAGCUC
rnacentral:snoRNA from 2 species